rnacentral:rRNA from 1 species
GACGAACGCUGGCGGCGUGCUUAACACAUGCAAGUCGAACGGAAAGGCCCUGCUUUUGUUCGGUGCUCGUGUGGCGAACGGGUGAGUAACACGUUAGUAACCUGCCCUUUACUUUUGGAUAACUUCAGGAAACUGGGGCUAAUACCCGAUAGGAGCUCUUGCUGCAUGGUGUGGGUUGGAAAGUUUCGGCGGUUGGAGAUGGACUCGCGGCUUAUCAGCUUGUUGGUGAGGUAGUGGCUUACCAAGGUUUUGACGGGUAGCCGGCCUGGGAGGGUGACCGGCCACAUUGGGACUGAGAUACGGACCAGACGGCUACGGGAGGCAGAAGGGGGGAAUAUUGCACAAUGGGCGGAAGCGUGAGGCAGAAACGCCGGGUGCGGGAUGACGGCCUUCGGGGUGUAAACAGCUGUCGAAUGUGACGAAGAGUGAGUGACGGUAAUGGGUAAAGAAGCAACGGCUAACUACGUG